rnacentral:rRNA from 1 species
ACUACGGUGCUGAAGUAACAAAUGCCCUGCUUCCAGGAAAAGCCUCUAAGCAUCAGGUAACAUCAAAUCGUACCCCAAACCGACACAGGUGGUCAGGUAGAGAAUACCAAGGCGCUUGAGAGAACUCGGGUGAAGGAACUAGGCAAAAUGGUGCCGUAACUUCGGGAGAAGGCACGCUGGUGUGUAGGUGAAGUCCCUGCGGAUGGAGCUGAGACCAGUCGAAGAUACCAGCUGGCUGCAACUGUUUAUUAAAAACACAGCACUGUGCAAACACGAAAGUGGACGUAUACGGUGUGACGCCUGCCCGGUGCCGGAAGGUUAAUUGAUGGGGUUAUCCGUAAGGAGAAGCUCUUGAUCGAAGCCCCGGUAAACGGCGGCCGUAACUAUAACGGUCCUAAGGUAGCGAAAUUCCUUGUCGGGUAAGUUCCGACCUGCACGAAUGGCGUAAUGAUGGCCAGGCUGUCUCCACCCGAGACUCAGUGAAAUUGAACUCGCUGUGAAGAUGCAGUGUACCCGCGGCAAGACGGAAAGACCCCGUGAACCUUUACUAUAGCUUGACACUGAACAUUGAGCCUUGAUGUGUAGGAUAGGUGGGAGGCUUUGAAGCGUGGACGCCAGUCUGCGUGGAGCCAACCUUGAAAUACCACCCUUUAAUGUUUGAUGUUCUAACGUUGGCCCCUUAUCGGGGUUGCGGACAGUGUCUGGUGGGUAGUUUGACUGGGGCGGUCUCCUCCCAAAGCGUAACGGAGGAGCACGAAGGUUAGCUAAUCCUGGUCGGACAUCAGGAGGUUAGUGCAAUGGCAUAAGCUAGCUUGACUGCGAGCGUGACGGCGCGAGCAGGUGCGAAAGCAGGUCAUAGUGAUCCGGUGGUUCUGAAUGGAAGGGCCAUCGCUCAACGGAUAAAAGGUACUCCGGGGAUAACAGGCUGAUACCGCCCAAGAGUUCAUAUCGACGGCGGUGUUUGGCACCUCGAUGUCGGCUCAUCACAUCCUGGGGCUGAAGUAGGUCCCAAGGGUAUGGCUGUUCGCCAUUUAAAGUGGUACGCGAGCUGGGUUUAGAACGUCGUGAGACAGUUCGGUCCCUAUCUGCCGUGGGCGCUGGAGAAUUGAGGGGGGCUGCUCCUAGUACGAGAGGACCGGAGUGGACGCAUCACUGGUGUUCGGGUUGUCAUGCCAAUGGCACUGCCCGGUAGCUAAAUGCGGAAGAGAUAAGUGCUGAAAGCAUCUAAGCACGAAACUUGCCCCGAGAUGAGUUCUCCCUGAGACUUUAAGUCUCCUGAAGGAACGUUGAAGACGACGACGUUGAUAGGCCGGGUGUGUAAGCGCAGCGAUGCGUUGAGCUAACCGGUACUAAUGAACCGUGAGGCUUAACCUU